CAAGGAAAGAACAAGGGAAACACGUAAAAUACUUUGGAAGAAAAUUCCAAAGAACCUUUUUCAAUUUUUUCAAUUAGAAAAAAAUAUAGGUUAAUCGUUAAUUAAAACCCAUUCCUCUGAAAUUUCAAAUCGGAAUGAAGAACAAACUCCGAGGAGUUUUCUGACUUCGAGUCAAUCCAGGGGUUGACGAAAGGCGCUCAAAUUAUGGGACAUGUAAUGGUGCUGAUUCAUUUCAGGGAGCUUGAAGUGCAUUACAGAGAAGUUGGAGUGCAUGUAUACCGCCCCGUAUCAAAUUUUUUGACAGGAAACUCUAUCCUCUUUAGGCAUUAAUCUUCAAACUAGCACUCCAGAGAUGCCACAUUCUUAAAAGCUGCCCGUAUAUGUGCUAUUUCAACUUUGAAACAGAAAAAUCCGGUUCUGAGUAUUUGAGUGUGUAGACAGGACUUAAUAAUGUAUCAAUUGGCCUAAUAAUUGCCGGAUGAAACAUGAAGUUUGCAGAAAAUCCAGUUGAGCAUUCCAGGCUUUUGAGCUCAUGCCUUCUAAAGAAUCGAAUGCCUUAGAGGCCAUGUGGAGUUGUUAAGCCAGGAUGGUCUGGGAAUGGCUCAAUUCCAUUGCUUUUUCAAAACAGUACAAUGUUCAAUGCGGAUCAAGCUUGCAUCAGCUAUUGUCUACUUCUAGUGUUUCCACAAGCCUGACUACAUGUCCUUUAGCAGGACAUGUGUGUGAAUCUUUAGAUGUAGUGCGAACUGCUGCCAAGCCUACGACAGAGGCGGCAGCGAAUCUCAUGCACUUUGUUGGACAUAAGGUUCAGAAAGGAGAGUGUCUCUAUGAUAUCAGCCAUGAUUAUAAUGUUGAUCUAAGGACCUUGUUGAAGGCUAAUCCCACUCUUAAGAAUCCAGAUAGUCUUGGUGUGGGGAGUAUAAUCAAGAUACCUUAUGUAGAGAAUUCUAGCCAAUGCAUGUGUCAUCUGAGAUAUCAGAUGCACCUACAAGAUUCAUUGUCUACAAAACCAGUCACUUCAGUUUUCACAAAGCCAGAGUCAUUUACACUAAGCAAGAUUUUAUGGUUAGCACAUCUAUUUCUUUUCAAAAAGAGAAAGCAUAGGGUCAUAGAAGGUGAUUCUUUAGAAGCUAUAGCUGAGAAGUAUGAUACCACUGUUUAUGCUCUCAAGAAGCUGAACAAUUUGAAUGAUGAUGUCAUCUAUAGAGGCAGUGUUCUGGAAGUAGGUGAACGGGAUUUGUAUAAAAAGCAUCAAUUUCUAAUUGGGAAGAAAGCAGAUUUUCAUGAACGGAGUGCUAUACUUGAGCAUGGACCAGUAAAUAUUCGGCAGUUAGUCUCAGGGUCUUCAGAAGAAAUUCCAUUAUUUUGUUUAUAUCCACUUCUUCAAACAGCUAAAGGUUUUAAGCCUCCUCUUCCAGAUCUGAUAACAGUCAAGGUUAAAUCAGGGGACACAUUGGCACACAUUUCUUGUCAGCAUGGAUUGAGUAUUCGUGAACUGCAACGUCUCAACAGUUUAAAGGAUGAUGUAAUCAUUCAAGGCGAUGUUUUGGUUGUGUCUACUAGACCUGAGAAGAUGGAAACAAUGGAGUUAAGGCAUGGUCGAAGAAGAACAAAUAGACUUCUGUUCUCUAGGCAGUUUCUUUCAAAGCGAUCUAGCUUGGGUGUUGGAGGGCCUGAAAGUUUAGGGGAUGCCACAUCCAUUUCAAAUGGUCCAGAACUUGAAGGAAAAUGGAAGCAUAAUAGGAAAGGAUUUGAUCAACGGGAUAAGUUUAUGCAUUUUAGCAUACCGCUCAGAGAAGGAUUUCUUAGCAGUCCCUUUGGUUGGCGGUGGGGUGCUUUCCAUGAGGGGGUUGACCUGGCUGCAGAACAAGGCACACCAAUCUAUGCAUCAUAUAAAGGAACAGUAGCUUAUGCUGGGUGGAAUGGUGGUUAUGGAUAUCUAGUUGCUAUUCAGCAUGAAGGUGGUUUUGUGACCAGAUAUGCACAUUGCUGUGCUAUUCAUGCUCGAGUUGGACAGAAAGUACGGAAAGGACAGCAAGUUGCAGCUGUUGGUGCUACAGGACAUGCUACUGGCCCACAUCUGCAUUUUGAAGUUGCAUUGUAUGGACUAGACAAACCAUUUUGAAGACACACACACACAAGUGAAGGAUAAUCUGAUUGCCCCAAGAAAGUUUCAAGGGAUUUCAAUGACAAAGACAAAGCAAAGAGUGACACUUAGCAUCACAGAUUCUUUGUGUCCAUGAAGUAAAGGUCAUUUGAGGACCUCUUCCAUCUCUCGCUACAAUCAACAUAGAUAAUAGUGUCAGUUGAAAGUGCUUGGCUAAUAAUAGUUUACCAUAACCAAAUACACCAGGAAUUUCAAUGACAAAGACAAAGCAAAGAGUGACACUUAGCAUCACAGAUUCUUUGUGUCCAUGAAGUAAAGGUCAUUUCAGGACCUCUUCCAUCUCUCGCUACAAUCAACAUAGAUAAUAGUGUCAGUUGAAAGUGCUUGGCUAAUAAUAGUUUACCAUAACCAAAUACACCAGGAAUGGCACAUGUUUCUCCAAGCACUGAUGGAAAUAGAGCAUCAAGAGCUUGUCAUCCUGUUAGGAGGGACGUAUUAAUGGCAAUCGACUGAAACUCACACUUGCCUGAUCACAACAGGAUUAGCGAUGAUUCUACACAACCGCCCAUGGAUUGACUCACAUAAGACUCUUUUCUAUCGCGCAGUAUUCUCAGAUUUUAUCCUGGCAAGGGAGUGAAAGUGUGUGACAGGUAAUCAACGUUCACAAGACAGUAAUAAUAAUCUAUGUCACUUUUUCUUUGUUUGGAAUCCUGGCGAGAUGAGAGAACUGAAUCGAAGACAAGAUAGACUAGAGCUUUUGUUGCUCCUUGUCAAAAAUCGUCAUUCCAUCCAAGUAUUGACAGGAUUUUGAAGUUUAUUUGCUCAUGCAAAUAUACUACCGUGGAACUCUGGGUGUUGGUGCUCUCUCAUCCCUCCGGUAAUCCUGCCAUAGAUGGCAUAGGAAUCACAACGUGAUGAACACGGAAACUGGUAUUUACAGCUGCAUUUACAAAGUCUUGAGAUUGAAAGUUUUGCUCUGAUACCAUAUAAAAAAUAUGUGCAGAGUCAUGGAAGGCAAACAUAAAAAUUUUAUACACAAAAUAAUAUUGCUUCUAUUUUUUUAAAUUUCAUUCAGUACAAUAUACAUGUAUACAGGAGUUGCAUCUCCUAUGUUCUAGGGAAUCUCUUAUAACAAGUCAAGAUAUUGAGUUGUUUUAACAACUCAAACAAACAAACUCAAUUAUACUAACAAUUACAGGAAUAUGUCCUAUCAUUUUAUGCGCUAUUUAACAAUGAACAAGCUCGACCUUCUCCUAUGUAAAAGACAUUGUUUAAGGCUGGCGAAUAGAGGAAACUGUAUUUGCCUUGAUUUAU